rnacentral:misc_RNA from 1 species
GAUGAAGAACGUAGCGAAAUGCGAUAAGUAAUGUGAAUUGCAGAAUUCAGUGAAUCAUCGAAUCUUUGAACGCACCUUGCACCCUUUGGUAUUCCGAAGGGUAUGCCUGUUUGAGUGUCAUUAAAUUCUCAACCAUUGAAGUUUUCACGAACUUUCUCUGGCUUGGAUGUGGGGGUUGCGGGUCUCUUCUGAGAUCGGCUCCUCUUAAAAGCAUUAGUGGGAACCGUUUGUAGGGGUUCAAUAUUAUUCACUUGACGUGAUAGUUUAUCGUCGUCAUACAGUUGAAUAGGAACUCUGAGGAUCUUGCUUUCUAACCGUCCGCAAGGACAACUUCAUUUUAAUGUGACCUCAAAUCAGGUAGGACUACCCGCUGAACUUAAGCAUAUCAAUAAGCGGAGGGA